rfam:Streptomyces sparsogenes DSM 40356 contig00057, whole genome shotgun sequence.
GGGGAACCCGGUGGGAGUCCGGGGCUGACGCGCAGCGGUGUGGGACGGCAGGGGGCCGUCCCGAGCCCGAAUGCCC